CACGUUCAGUGUGGUUCGGCGCUGAACGUGAACGUAUUUACCUGCGUCCCUGUGUGAGUUAAUACUGUGUGCGUGGUUACCACAGCGACCCUCAGCCUGCCGGAAAUGCCCCUGUGCCUCCAAACACGUGCAAGCCACACCUGACGCUAAACACCAGCUUUCCUGCCUGGAAAAACUCCCACACGUACCGUUCAGGAGGAGGAGGAGUGCGAUCUUCAUCCUGCUGUGAGGCUCAGAGUCCUGAUAAACCCUCUGCUGACCGAGAGGACCCGCCUGUGAGCACUCAGUCCUGCAGUGUAACGAUCAGACAGCAUUGCUCUGCUGGGCUCACCCGGCUCUCAUCCACAAACCGGUUUCACCGCCUCAGGGUUCAACUCACACACCGACACUCAAGCGCGUACAUGGUGCACGCCUCACCAUGGCAACUGUUCAAUUAAAAAACUAGAGCUUAAGUUUUGUUUUCAUUUUCAGAUAAUGGUGAUGAAUCAGAGUCAAGGCAGGUGUGUGUGCUUCAGAUUCAAAGAUAAGAUUAUUAGUGCAUGCAGCACAUGUCUGUUAAUAAACAGGCCUGUGGUGUGGUGUGCAGGUCUUCUACACUUUCUAAGGUCAUCUAUUACUAAUUAAUAAAGGGUCACAGGAGCCUCCUACAUCCUUCCUGCUCCCAGAGUUUGUGUCUGCAGCAACGAGUCCUGGGGUAUUUCCCAGUGCCAAGUACAUCAAGUAUGUCAUGUUCAAAUUUGGUGUGAUGGUAGAUACCAAUAUGCAACAUGCAUUUGUCACCUUGGAAGUACAAUAUUCAAAGUGAUUCCUGAAAGAAACUUUGGGACAACUGUUGCACAAAAACAAGGAGAAAGAGGACGAGUUAAUACAGGCUGGAGAAUCACAGUGUGACAUGACAAAGAGCAAAAACAUUAUUAUACAGUAAAAUAACAUAAGGUUACAAUAAUGUAACGUAAUGACUGGGUGAGAAGGUCAACACAGUGAGACAAACCUCACCAACUCCUCCCCACACCACCUGUGACACAGGGAUGGUGUUAGAGUCACGUCUAUUCAUAGAGCACACUGAGUGUUUCAAAAUAGCAGAUCAGACGGUUUAGCACAGGUG